rnacentral:lncRNA from 1 species
UGUGCUUCUCUUCUUCCUCCCACCCUCCACCCUCAAGUAGACCCCAGUGUCUUUCAUUCCCCAAAAGCUAACAUUUUAAACCAGCCCAAAAUAUAAUAAUUUUAAUCUGAAGUGGCAUGUGAUUUCUGUUAAUGAUAAAAAAGAUAACAUUUGAAAAGGAGUCCUUUUGAUAACCCAUGUAUUAAGGACUAAAUGUUUGUACCUUCUCCCACCCCCAGAAUCAUAUGUGAAACCCUAACAACCAAUGUGAAUGUAUUUGGAGAUAGGGUCAUAAGCAGAUGGUAGAGUUUAAAUGAGGUCAUAAGGGUGGAGCCCUAAUCUGAUAGAGCUGUUGCACUUUUCAGAAGAGGAAGAGAUACUGGAACGUGUCUCUGUCUGUGUGCAUUCAGAAAGAAGGCCAUGUGAUACAGUUUGGAUGUUGCCUCCAACCAAAUGUCAUGUCAAAAUGUAAUCUUCAGUAUUGGAGGGGAGGCAUGGUGGGGGGAGAUUGGGUCCCCCCACCCAGUGGAGGCAAGUUUCUCAUGAAUGGUUUAGCACCAUCCCCCUUGGUACUGUCUUCACAAUAGUGAGCUCUCAUGAUAUUUGGUCAUUUAAAAGUGUGUAGCACUUCCCCCUUCACGUUCUCUUGCUCCUGCUCUGGCCAUGUGACAUGCCUAUUCCCUCUUCACCUUCUGGCAUGACUGUUAAGUUUCCUGUGGCCUCCCUGGAAGCUGAGCAGAUUCCAUCAUCAUGCUUCCUGUACAGUCUGCAGAACCAUGAGCCAAUUAAGCCUCUUUUCUUUAUAAAUUACCCAGUCUGAGGUACUUCUUUAUAGCACUGCAAGAAUGGACUAAUACGCUAUGUGAAGACAAAGGGGAUGUCUGCAAGCCAGGACGAGUGCGUCUACCAGAAACUGAGUUCUGCUGGACUUUGAUCUAGGACAUCCAGCCUCCAGAAUGGAAUGUGCCAUAUGUGGAGACCUGCAUGGAAAGGAACUGAGGAUGCUCUCUCACUAAAAGCUAGAAGGAACUGAGGCCCUCAGUCAACAGUCUACAAGACACUGAAUCUUGCCAGCAGCCAAGCAGUGAGCUUGAAAGCAGAUCUAUCAUCAGCUGAACCUUCAGAUGAGACCGCAGCCUAAGCAGAUACCUUGGUUGCAGCCAUGUGAGACAACCUGAAACAGAGGGCACAGCUAAGCCUCAGCCAGGUUCAUGACCCUCUGAGGAAACUGUGAGAAAGCAAAUGUCAUUUUAAGCUAUUUAAUUUUGGAGGUAGUUUAUUACACAACAAUAAAUAACUAUUAUAAUUAUCUUGAGGAUUUAUUUCCUGGGGAGAAUACAUGGAAUUGCAUAUAUAGGUCCUCAUAUGCAGAAUACUGGUACCCUAGAGAUGUUCACCCCAGAGAUGUUUUAGGAACCUGUGAAUAUGUUACAUUAAAUGGCAAAGUUUUCCUGGAUGGUUUAAGUUUAAGAUGGAAAAGUUUUACUGGAUUAUCCAGUGGGUCCAAUCUAGUAACAUGAGUCCUUAAAAAUGGAGAAUAUUUUUUGGCCAUGAUCAGAGAGACAUGUGAUGAUGGAAAAAGUGUCAGAGAUGCAAUGUGAGGGGACUAAAACUGCUGUUGCUGACUUUAAAGAUGGAGAGAGGGGAACCCGAGUCAAGGAAUGCAAAUGGCCUCUGGAAGCUGGAAAAAGCAAGAAAUGGAUUCUCCUUUAGAGCCUGUGGAAUAAAAUGCAGUCAUGCUGACACCUUGAUUUUACCUCAGUGAGACCAAUACUGGAGUAUGACCUUCGGAGCUGAAUAAAAUUAUACGUACACAUCUUAAUUUCUUGGGAUUUGAUUACUUCUUCUGCUUUGAAAUUAGACCAAGUUUAGCCUGCCUUUGCUAUUUUGGCGUAUCUCCAAUUCUUCAUGAUUUUCUCAUAAAAUUGUUGAACAUCUACAUACGAAGAUGAAGGGAAAACUUGAAAGCAGUCAGAGGAAAAAAAAGGACACAUUACCUUCAAAUGGACAAUAAGAUGGAUGGCUAAUUAAAAUAUUAUUGCAGUAUAAUUGA